GACGAACGCUGGCGGCGUGCUUAACACAUGCAAGUCGAGCGGUAAGGCCCUUUCGGGGGUACACGAGCGGCGAACGGGUGAGUAACACGUGGGUGACCUGCCCUCAGCUCUGGGAUAAGCCUGGGAAACCGGGUCUAAUACCGGAUAUGACUCCAUGACGCAUGUUGUGGGGUGGAAAGCCUUGUGCGGCUGAGGAUGGGCCCGCGGCCUAUCAGCUUGUUGGUGGGGUGAUGGCCUACCAAGGCGACGACGGGUAGCCGGCCUGAGAGGGCGACCGGCCACACUGGGACUGAGACACGGCCCAGACUCCUACGGGAGGCAGCAGUGGGGAAC
rnacentral:rRNA from 1 species